UAGGGAAUCUUCCACAAUGGACGCAAGUCUGAUGGAGCAACGCCGCGUGAGUGAAGAAGGUCUUCGGAUCGUAAAGCUCUGUUGUUGGUGAAGAAGGAUAGAGGCAGUAACCGGUCUUUAUUUGACGGUAAUCAACCAGAAAGUCACGGCUAACUACGUGCCAG
rnacentral:rRNA from 1 species